GGCUUGCUGGACACUCUUUCCCUGGUGCACUACUGUGGGCCAUUGGGGAGCAGGGCAAUGAUGGAAGGGCAUCUGUCAGGCC
rnacentral:miRNA from 1 species